AUCCAUCUGACGUGUCCUAAAUAGGACGAAACGCAUGUCUUGGAU
rfam:Schistosoma curassoni strain Dakar, Senegal genome assembly, scaffold: SCTD_scaffold0008611